rnacentral:misc_RNA from 1 species
AAGCUUCAUUGAUACCGAAA